GGCUAGGGGCGGGGCUUCAAGCGCGUCCCGGGGGCGUGGUCACGGCGGCGGCGCGCAAGGAGGAGGAGCCUGACCUGGGCCGGCGGGGCUUCGGUCGCGGGUCUGACUAUGUCUGCUCGGCUGGAGCUGGAUCCGCGGUCAGCCGAGGCCGGUAGGCCGCACCCUGCGCCUCCGCCGUGACCCGACCCUCUGCGCGGGUGACUUAGGGCUCGUCUCGCGAGGCUGUCCUCAUGGGUGUGAAGUGGCCCUGAUUUGCAUCUCCCUAAUGACUGAGACACUGAUUUAUGAUCUAGCUGCAAGGGCUCCCGAAGCUUCUUUGCCCCAUCUGGACCUGGAAACGGGCUGAUUUUUUAAAACCAAGAUUCUUGGCAUAUUUGGACACAAUGAAUACUGUGCCUUUCAUAUUUUCUUUGUAUUUCUCCAUAGUUGCUUGACCCAACAUCUGUCUGCUCUAUACAAUGAAAAUACAAACUAAAUGAGAAUAGAAAAAAAUAAUUAAAGCAUUAAAUUGUACAAAUUACAAAUCUGUUCCAAAAUAUACUUACAUUAAAUAAAAUACGCAUUUCAGUUAAGAGAUCUACAGUGAAUGACUCUGCAUUCUGGGAAGCUUCACGACACCUAGGCAGGGCCGACAUUCGUGGGAGGAGCUAAGAGACUUCGCACCAAUCACAGUCUGUUUGUAGCGGGUUUCUGACGGCCAAUCUGCGGGCUACACUGAGCGUCAGCAUCACCUGCGCGGGACUGACGGGGGAGGGGAGAAGCAGCUCUAGCCUCGACGCUGAGUUCAUUCUCAUCAACAGCCUAUACAGUACAGUUUCAAAAAAGUAAACAUGUUAAGGGAAGCAGACAACUCUUUAGAACCCCAGACACAUUUUCUGGCUGUAUUUAUGUGGAACUCUCCGGCUACAAUGGGCGGUCGUAAAGAGGUUCUUCCUCAGGACAACACGGUCACAGGACCCGGACGAGCCGGCGGGACUGAGGGGAGCCGAGGAUCGGGGAGAGGCUCCUCUGGUUGCGGGUGGAGCCCAUCUUUUCACGCACAGUCCGCGGCCCUGCAGUCCUCUCCCCGUAUCAUCUGGCGUAGCGCUUAAUGUAGUCCUCCACUUUAUUCCGGAACUUACCUUGUCUCGCAAAUGAUGUUCCGCAGCUUCAAUAUUCAGUGGAUCAUCAAAAUUCAACAGAUCCUUAAA
ensembl:lncRNA